AUCUAAUUUUCCAAGUUUACUCCAAGAUCUUAGAGAUUCUUGAGUGCUCUCAUCCAUUUCAUAUAUUAGCUUCUCUCUUAAGGCUUCGGGGCUAACAAACUUGAACGUUAAGCUCUUGAGGUACUUGUGGAAGUCUCCAUGAUGGGCAACUACACUUUGUUUCCCAAUUAUCUGGAAGAGACUCUGAGUAUACCAAAUUUGGAAAGCAUUACCUUCUUGCUGGAAGACCCGGUAGUUGACGUCAGCAUCAGUCGAUACAAUGAUUGGCUCCCCAACUAUACUCGUGCGAAAAAUUGGCCCGUACCUGAAAAUUCCCAAAAAAAAAAAAAAGAAACAAAGAAAAGCUAGUUAAGAUAAAAUAUCCUUAACUGUUACUGCUGUAAUAUUGUUAAAAUUUAUAUGUGAUAGCUGGUUAAGAAGUGGUUAGACAACCACUGGAGUACUGAGGUUGAUCCAAUGAUUAGGAGAGGUUAUUAGAGUUUUCUUCAUAGUCUAGUUCAAGAUUCGAAUUUUGUAUCGGAUAGUUAGAAAUGAGAAGAGUAUGAAAAAAAUAAGAGGUAAAAUAAAAGGAGAUAGACAUACUUAGCCGCUCUUUUUUGUACGAAUGGUGGAAUAUCAUCUGAUGCAUAAGGGGUGAAGUACUGAAUUGUUUCUCCUAUAAUUGGCAGUCCCAUCGAACCUGGUGGUAAUACCCCGUUGCACUUGGGGUUUCUCCACCUAUAUACCCAGUGGCUGAAAAGCACAAUAAUGAGAGCAAUAAUAGCACAAGCAAACAACAUGGUCCUUGGUUAGUGUACUGGAAAUGUAGGGAGAAAAGGCGAAGAGAGUAGCUAAAAUUGCUGUUGUUUGCUAUGAAGGAAUCUCGGAUUGGAGCUGCUUAAAUAGAUGGAGAGCUCAAGCUCUGACAAGGACGCGCUGUAAGAUUGUUGGCGAUAGACAUAUUACCUUUUUUUUUUUAUAAUAAUAAUAUUUUUAUAAUUUAAUUUAUCUUAUUUUAGACGAGAGGGAAGACUAAAGAUGCUACAUAUAAGGAAUUAAUAGAUAUAAGAAUCUAUUAAAUCAAAAGAGUAUUUUGACACUUCUUUUAAAUUUUUUUACUAUAAAUAGGAUUCGAACACCUAAUCUUCAACUCAAAAAAGGACUUUAGUUUCCAUUUUGGUGAUGACCAUGAGCUCUUGACUCAGUGGCUCGGUUAAUAGUAUAGGUGAUAAACCAAUUCAAUUAACUAAAUUUACCCAUACUCAUCCAUGAAUAUAUAGGUAUGAGUAUCUUAAAUUUUUGUAUAUGGGUAUAAAUAGGUUACCCAAUAAUACCCAAUUAACCCAUUUAGAAUUCUCUUCCCCCACCUCUUUUUUUUUUUCAAAAUUUUCAUUUUGUCAUGACGUUAACUAAUUUUGUUUCAUUAUUAUUAUUAUUAUUAUUAUUUGUUGGUUUUAAUUUAUUAUUUUAUUUUCUCUUAGUUUGUUAACUUGCUUAUUUUUCAGCAUUACCAAUUUAUGAUAAGUUUUAGCCUCUUUUCUUAUCUUUCUAAAAUGAAAUUUUAAAUUUUAUAUAUGAAAAAAAUGUUAGGGGUUCAAAAUUUUUGGAUUAAGUUUUUAUAUUAACUUUUAUAGUACUUAGUUCAAAUUUUUAUAUUCUUAUUAUUCAAUUAUUAAAUAAUAUGUAAUUGUGACAUAGAGUAUAAAUGAAAAAAAAUUGGUAAUUAGGCUAAUUGAGUAUUAUAAGUAAAUAUUUAAAACUAAUGAUGGGUACAAAGAGCGGUAUAAAUUGAUAAUUUAGUUUGCAAAAAUGAAUUUAAAUGAGUUUGUAAAAAGUUAAAAUAAAUAGGUUAUAAAUGGGUAAUUGGGUUAUCCAAUUCAUUUUUUGAUUUACCAAUUUAUACCCAUCUAAUUUAAAUGGGUAUAAAUGAAUUGAGCUACUUAUACCCAUUACCCAUUUUAUCCAAUCCAAACCCACCCAAGUCACCCAUUUUGACACAUCUAGUUAAUAGACAUAUUGCCUGAUGACACAAAUUUCACCUGUAAUUCAUAAAGAGUCAAAAAGAAAAAUCGGCUACGGUGAAAGUCAAUGUGAGGCCAAUAGCGCUUGGUCACGGCGGCCAGAGAGGCCAAAAAGUCUAUCUUGCACAACGCUGGCUACAAAUUCAAGCCAUGUGCGAGGUAGAAACCUCAUGAAAUUACCAAAGUGUUUUUGGAAUGCUAGAUUAUUUCACGUAAUAUUUCAUUUGUAUUAUAAACAUAUUUUUUAAUUCAUAUUUUUAUAUUUUUUAACUAUCUUUUUAUGUCACAUAUAUCACAUUAUAAAAAUUAUUAUAAUAUUUAUUCUAAAUAAUAUUUCAAAUAAUACUCUAUCCAAAUACACUAAGGAAAGCUCUGGCACUAUUUUUGGUAAGAAUGAUUUUAAAUCUCACUGCGGUGAUUUUUGGUAACAUGUUAUAGAUAUGUCAAGCUCCAUGAAAGUUGCUACAAGUGAGGAUACAAUGUCAUAGCGACCCUCAAAGCUAGCCCCUCACCAUCUUAGGAAAUAGCCUGAGUAGAUUAGGCUUAUCAAAUUAUAUUGUCAUAGUUCAAGGAGAUUGGCUAAAAGCCAAAUUUGACUCUCCUUGUUGAAAUAGUGAAAGAAUGGAAUUGUGAUUUGGCAUUUCUAUCUCUUCUUUAGUAACAAAAGUCUUUUUUAAUUUGUUUAUCAAUUUUUGGGUAAUUUAGUCAUUACAAUUUGCUGUUUUUUAGUUCACUUAGUUAGAUUUUUUCAUUAUUGUAGUUUGUUCUUAGUUGUUACUCAUAUUUUUUUCUUUGAAGCUAAAACUAAUAGGAAAAAUAGAAAACACAAAUCUCUACUCUCAGGAAAAGUCAAGCGGGAAAGAAUGACGAAAAGAAACAUAUCACCAUACCUGGAUGAUAGUGCUUCAUUUCUUGAAAAGGAUGAUCAUUUGUGGUUUUAAAUAACUACUUAGUCCAAAAGAGUUUUCAUAAAGUAUAUGCUGAUCAAGUGGUUGAGGAAAAUCUAAGAAAUAGACAAGUGAAGCCACAAAAAUUGGUGAGAAGAUACUCGCGACAAAGAAUAGGCUUACAUACAUGAAUAAAAUAACUUUGUCAAGGUAUCUAAACAUACAAGAACAGGACAAAACAAUUUUGCAUGAGACGUUCUUCACAUUAUGUGUCACAAGAAUGGAAAAUAAACAAAAUUAUCCUUUGUCGUUGCAAACUAGAAGCAAAUCUCAAAGUGUGCAGUUUAAAAGUAGGGGGAUGUAUAUCUAUGGAGACAAAGUAAAAUAUUUAUUAAUUCAAAUAAGAUUUCUAUUAUUACAAAUCUCUAUCCUGUAUAUUGUUAUAUAUUUUAAUAUUAUAAUACUUUUUGUGAUGUAAUAUAUGUAAGAAAAAAGGUAGUUCAAAAGAUAAAAAUGUGAUUAAAAACAUAUUUAUAAUGGAAUUAAAUUUUUUUUAUAAAUAAUCCCAUAUCUAAACAAGCCCAUUGUGUGCAUGUUACCUUAAACUAUAUUAGAUUUUUUUGAGUAUUUUGAAUAUGCAUCAUUAAGUAAUUGUCAAUAUCAACUAAAUGAAAGAAGGAAAAAAAAAAAAGAAGUGGAAACAAAUAAGGUGAAAAGAAGUCCCAUCUCGCGUGUAAUUGUCAAUAUCAACUAAAUGAAAGAAGGAAAAAUAAGAAGCGGAAACAAAUAAGGUGGAAAGGAGUCCCAUCUCCCGUGUAAUAGUUCGAAUCAUUUACAAAAAAAAAAAAAAAAAAAGGGGUUCUGACUGUUUCUUUCUCUUGUGGAUAGUGAACUGUUUGUCAGUUCAUCGCCUUACCACAUUCAAAUGCAAUGGGUUUUUAUUGCUUUAAAAAUAACUCAUUUUAUCUACUACUAAACUAUACUAUAACAAAACCUAAAAAAGGACAUGAACAGAUCCAAGAUCAACUAAGAUAGGAGAUAACUAAAGAAAAGAGAAGAAAUUAAAUCAAUUAUUAAGUGAUUUACCUAAUUGGAAAAGCAAUUUAUGAUAAAUUACACACUAUGCAUGUGCAAUGCAUGUGCAUUUUGUGAGGCUCCGAAAUUUUACUUAUCUUUAUACCUCUUGUUUGAACAUACUUGCCUUAAAUUCUUGGUUGUUUUAAUAGUUGUAUCAUGGUUUUUCCCUUAUUGUAUUAUUUACCUUGGUACAUGUUUAAUUUGGUGCAUGUUAAGUUUCCUAGUGUAGUAUACUAGUGUGACCAACUAGUGAGGUGUGUGCAAUAAAUUUGGAGGAUUAGAAGGAGUUUUGUGCAAAAAGAACUAUGUGACAUGAGGUGUUAAGAGUUAAUUGAAGAAACCCUAGAUAUCUUGGUGAACUAGAGACAAACAGAGAGAUAAAGAGAUAGACAUCUCUUUUUUUCUUGCUAUUUGUCAAGUAGUCAACCAAAGUUGACUACGACCUUAACCAAAAUAAGCUUUUAUUUCUUCACUAUUCUUUCCUUCUUUAUCUUGUCUUGGCCAAAAUUCUUGAGGGGAAAAGAGGUGAAAACCAACUCCAAGUUCAAGCCUUGAUUUCUUGCUUGAUUAAUGAGAGAAAACGUUAGUCUACUCUGACAAACCUUGAAUUAGGGUUGGAAGGAAGCUAUUAGAGAGGUUUUGGAGGAAGAAACCCUUGAGUACUUCUUGCUUGGCUAUUCAUCUAAGGUUUUGGAGGUAAAGACAUGAACUUUGUUAAAAAUAUUCCCUUAUCUUUGGGUUUAUUUGAUGUAUGAUGUUAUAGAAGUUAAACGAAGGACUUGUAUGGUGGAUUUUAUGAUUUUCAGGUUCUGUUGUGAAUUUCCAACUUUGUUUUGUGGGAUUCAAGAGGUAAACUUGAUAGCAACCUUAUCUUUCUUCACUUGUCUUUGCAUCUACUUGAUGGAUGAUAUUCUAUAAGGUAAAAUGCAUGACUUUUAUGGAAGAUUUCAUGGUUUGUCAAGAUUAUGUUGCAAUUUCCAACUUUGGUGCAUAAUCUAGUUAGUUUAGUUUAGAGUUUUGAAUAUGUGAAAUUUUGAUGGGUUUGUUUGCUAAGAAGAUGGUUCAUAUAUGUCAUGACAUGAUAUCUUGAUUGAUAGUGGUUUCACCAAGAAAAUAAGGUUGAAAGUUGGAAGUUUUGUUGGAAAAUUUGGGAAAAACUUGCUGUAAUUUCUAUUAGAGUUGGCCGGCUAGAAAAGAGCCAUUUUCUAGCUUUGAUUUCCAGAAUUUUGUGGUGAUUUUGGCAAGGUUUUGCUCAAGAUACUUUGUUAAACCUAAAUUUUCACCUGUAUGUUGGAUUUCAGUCAAAACAAAGAGGACAAGAGAAGGAAAAUGAGUUUUCUCCAACAUGUUUUUCUUGCUCGAAAUUUCUAGUUUUGUACCUCGAAAAUCUUGUCCUAUUGUCUUCAAAAUUCUUGGUUAUAAUCAACAAAAUUCUUGCUCCAUAUUAUACUUGAAACAUGGACCUAUCAUACAUAUAGUUUUCCCUUGAUUUGAACAAGAAAUCUUGGCCCUUUCGGAAACUAUAUUAGGGUUAAACCUGAAAUUUUCUGUGUUUGUCAAGUGAAGCUUCGAACUCAUAUUUUCUCAUUUAUCUUGGAUUUAAAUGGAUAGACUCUUGAUAGCUUAUAUGACCACAGGACUUGAGAAGACGAAUCAGGGUUUGAAGUGGAAACAUUGAGGUCAAGUGGUGAGUGUUCCUUAUGUUUGUGAAUUGAAUGCCUUGAUUGUGUGUUAUUUUUUGACUGUUAAAUGUAUUUCAAAAAUCACUUUACUAUUGAUAGGCGAGUGUGUACCUUAUCGCACUCGACCUAAGUGAAUAUGAAUUUUUAACGAUUACAUGAUUGAAUGUUACUUGUGCAUGAAUGCAAGUCAUUGGUUGAAUUGGACCCUUAUCCUUCGUCGCUAGCCUAUUCAAAUCAGAAGCAGACUCGGUCAGGUAGGUUGGUAACCCUGAGCCACUGUUUUGGUAUACUCGAGUAUAAUCACGAAAUCAGGUGAAGUACUGACCAGUGAAUGAAAUGCAAUAAAUAAAUGAUUGAAUGAAAUGAUCAAUGUCGGGGUUUUUGUUUUCAAAUGUGUUUUCAAAUAUUAGAAGUUAUAAGGAAGAAAUGGACGGAGACAGAAUGACUAAAUGAAUGAAUGGUUCCAAGUGAGUUUGUAUCCUUUAAAUGAUUACUUUUUGAAUGACAGGUAAAAACACUUUUAGCGACUAUUUGGUUACCUGUUGGACUGGUCACAUAAAUAAGAUAAUACCUAAAAAUUUGGUUAGUAAGUUUCACAUAAAAAAUAGUAAGUUAACUCGAUAAAUUAGUAACUUUUAUGUCUCAAAAAGUAAAUUGAAAUAAAUAGGGAACUUACUUUUUUUUGACAUAAAUUACUACUCUAUAUCCACAACUGACUUUUUGGAGAGUAAGUUUAGUUCAAGUAAUAAUCAGUUUUUAUAGAUUAAUAGUAAAUCUUGUUGAUAAAAUAGUAAAUUUGGUUAAUGAUCAAAACUUACCAGUUUGUGGCAUAAAUUUACUAUUUUACUUAAAAAAAUUUUAUGGAACAAGUAUUAGGAAGUUUAUAUGAAAUAAUGCUAAGAUUUUUUUAUUAAUGAUUGAAACUUAGUAUUAUAGUUAGUAAUUACUCGUCGUGUAAAUGUAUGAUACACGAAUGCACGCAUCAUUUAUAAAUUUUACGUUUUAAGCAUUUUAAAUAUACUAAAUAUACUAUGAAAACUUUUUUUUUUCACAUGACCUUAUAAAAUAUGUAAGAAUAAUUUGUCAUGUUACAAAUUCUGAAUUAUUUUUGAAUUUGUGAAAGGUUAGAAAGUUUGGAUGACAAUACCAACAAAUAUUUCGAGUUAUAUAUAGAAUAGCACUUAUCUAUACAUCACAAUUUCCAUAUAUUAAUACCUAUGAAUAUAAUAAUAUGGUAAAGUUUUAAUAAAUAUAUUUUUUGGGUCACAAGUAUAAAAGUUAAAUUUAUAUUACAAUAACAACAAAUAUAAAAUAGCACUUAUUUAUACAUCACAAUCUCCAUAUAUUAAUACCUAUGAAUUUAAUAAAAUGGUAAAGUUUUAAUAAAUUUAUUUUCUAAGUCACAAGUAUAAAAAUUAAAGUUGUAUUAACAUAGUAUAAUCUUUGAAAAUUAUAGUGAAUUUAUCCAUAUGUUAAGUUCCAUGGCUUUCAAAUAUACUUUGUAUCAUUUACAUCGUGGAUUUGUAUGCAUAUUUUUUCUAUCAAACUCCUUUUUUUAUUGGCAAAUGGUAUGUAAAUCAUUAUAAAAUGUCAUUUUAUAGUAAUCAUAAUUUUUUAUAGGUGAAUGUUAUGUAAACUGCUAAAAUUGUCAAUUCAUAAAUGACUAAAUCUUACUAUUUUAUAGCAUAUAUUAGUCUGAUCGACUAAAAAAUUACUGUAAUCAUGUGUACGUUGAUUGUUGAUUUGAAAUUUGCACCAUUGUCACUAGUUCCAUUAUUACUAGUACAAAUUCUUCUAAUCAAAGUAAAAUCAAAUCAAAUAUCUUUUCCUUUUGUAUGCAGUAGUUAUGGUUAAUAGAAAAUUAUUAAACCAUUCUUACAAUACAUAAUUUCUCUUGGAAUUAGUAACAUUUUCUAAAUAAAUUGGAAUAAUUUGUAAAAUAUUCCAAUUUAUUUUUUUCACCAAUAUAAUCAAAAGAAUUUUGCACUAUUAAAAGACAAAUGGAAAGAAUGAACGAUGGUAUAAGUAUAAAUGUGAGCAACUACAUACGUAUCACACCAUGAGUUUAGGUAUGAUUUGUUUAAAACAUAAGUAAUUUACAAAUGAAAAUACAAUUUAGUAUAUACUAAUUAUCCAAUCCACGGACGGAUCCAUGACCAGCGCGGGAAAUCGUAAAGAACUUCGUGCCGAACUUCUUCAGAUUCUUUGGGUCCAGUGGAGUAUUCGAAUUGCUUCUGUAAUUUUAAGUAGGUGGCAACGAUCCAUAUCAAUUCUUGCUCCACUUUACUCGGUCUCCAUUCUAUAGAAACUUCUCUUUGACAUUUCACCAAACACCUUAUAAGCAUUUCCAAAUUAUGCAUACAAACUUUUCUUUGAAUCAUAGUACAAUUCAAUUGUGCAUACCGAAAUUUCAAAUAACCAACUAAAAUUGUAGAUUACCAAUUUCUUGCAAUUAUAGAACAUCAACAACCAUCAAUGAACUUCAGAUUAAGCCUUUAGCUAACAAAUGCACCAAUUGAAUCCUAAGGGAUGAGUGAAUGAUCAAGAUGCUGGCAUCACCCUAAAAUUAUUGAAACCAAUCUCCAUUCCAUAGGGGAAGUCCAUGACCUCUAACCUUAUCAAUAAUACUAACCACCGACAUGCAGAUAAUCUUAAGAGAAAAAGCCAUCAAAAUGAUAAAAAGAGAAUAUUUUCGUGCUGAACGAAAAAAUUGCGAUUCUAUAUAGAAUUAAAGAAAUUCAUCAUGAAUGAGAAUGAGUUGCAAAGUUAUCACAUUUCUAAUUUCAUAUGUAUCCAGAAUUUGAUGUAGCACUACUUUAGAGUAACUCUCUGACGGGUAUUUUACAUACGUGCAAGUUAAAAAAAACCGAAUUACACCCGUUCACUGCAAGUAUACAGGUCAACUAAUAGUUUAGGGUAUAUAUCGGGUCGAUCCCACAGGGAAGAGUGAACAAUUACCGAUAUUACUAAAGCUUCUCUAUUAUUUAGACUAUCAAUGAAUUAUAACAAAUUUAACCUACUGAAAUUAUACAAAACAACAAAUAAAAGCUCAUUAGAUUGUGGUAUCCCCAACUACUCAUGCAAUUUCCAUUUUUGGAUUAUUGAGUACUAUUAUCUAGGCUAGUUAUGGUGUAAUUUCCUUAUGCAUUUGAAACCUACUUUCGUAGUGAAUCAACUAUACUUAUAACUAAUCCAUACCUAUUCUCAUGGUUAUGAAAUUAGCUACAAGUUCAUUUCUUCAAUGAAAUUACAUGAAAUGAAUCACUAAAAACCACAUAGGUGCACCUCUACUUUCGUGAGUGCACUCCCUAUGUUUAGCACUUCUUGAACUAGUGUUAAAUCUCAAUUUUCAUUGCAGAAACAACACCUUGGAUAAUCACAGUCAAUGGUACCGGAUUAAUCAUGAUUUAAAGAGCCAAAGUACUAAAUAACUUGCUCAAAUCAUAGCAAUCAAAUAACCAAAUAAUAAACACUAACAAUUAUAGAAGGUUCAACCAAACCAAGGUAUAAACUUUAGAGACACAUAUUAAACACAAAAUCCAGAACUUGCAUAUUAACUAAAUUUGGAAUCAAGUACAAAAGAUAAAGAGUUGGAAAGGAAUGUAACCCAUGUCACUUGAGCUCAUCACCUUGCCUUCUUCAUCUCCAUCUUAAUCCUAGUCUAGCAAUAUACAAGAGUGGAUGAACUACACUAGCUAAACUAUCCUACACUAAGGAAAUGGAAGAACUACAUUUCUGCACUCUUCAAGCUUCUCCCGUAUGAUAAUUCUCUAUCCCUCUGAUUGCUCUCUGUAUAAAACUGAUAUGAGGUGCCUUUCCACUGGUCCAAAAUUUCUGCUAUGAUUCUCCAAAUCUGAAUUUGUUAAGGAAUUAAAAAAUAAUGGCUUUUGACUUGGAAUAAGCCAUGUUGUAUGCUCUUUGUCUUCUGAAGCAUGUGCACCGAAUUCCCUUGCAACUUAUAGCUGGAAAGUAGUCUGAUCACAAGAGAAAUGGGUGAGCAACUUGCAGAAUUUCGGCCAGAAAACGCGCCUACACAAAACGCGCUUACAGUCGCGUUUUCUUCAACUCGCGUAUUCAACUUGGCCUCACUUAAACUGCAAUUUUCUCCAUGAUGAAAGCAGAACUGGCUUUUGUGUAAAACACAAAAGUUGUAGCCCCUUGAAUUAGAUUUCCAAUGAUUCAAGAAUCAUCCAAAUCGGAUCUUUGUAUUCUGAGAUAUGAUCGAAAUACCAUAAACUGGUCAAUUCUGGGCUACAGUUUUUGACCAUCCAGAUAAGUUUCUGUGUUUCGACUUUUUGACCAAGAAAACAGCUGAAUUGGACUUUGAUGUCUUCAUACCAAAUGUAUAUAUAUCUCUUAGCUUCAAAAUGGUACCAAGAUCACCUUGAUCCGAUCUGUGUAGCUCCAGAUAUAGUCAAACUAUGAAAAUAUGUCUGAGUUGUCAAAGCUGACUUUUUCUUGAUUCUUUUGUUCUCAAAUUGCAUUUCUCCUUUUAUACUUCAUAUUUUAUUUUCACCACUUUAAUCCAUCUUCAAUCAUCCAAAUAUCUUCCUAAUGCACUUCAUUUGAUGAUUGAAUCAUUAAACCUACAAAAUAUGAAGUUUUUACCAUAAAAAUCAAUAGAAAUGCAAUGUUAGCCACUUUAACAUAAAAUGUAGAUUUUUACCAAAACCUUAGUUAUUUUAGUUAUAAAACUAAAUAAUAAAACCAAAAUUAACUAAUAAAAUGUACUUAAAAAUACGUAAAAUAAACCCUUAUCAAAUACCCCUACACUUGAACCAUUGCUUGUCCUCAAGUAAUAAGAAAUACAAACCAACAAUGAUCCAAAAUUUGAAAAUAAACAUAUGUAGCAUUUCAACUUCAUUUCCUCAAAACAAAGUAAAUAACCAUUAUGUAAUUAUUCAAUUAAGUUCAAGUACUCAUAAUAUCAAGUAAAGGAGAGCCAAUUAUACCGUCAUUAUAACAAAUUCAAAUCAAUUUUUCAUCCUUACCCAAUCUUACAAGUAAGUAACUCAUAUGGUCAAUAAUAUGCUUCCUAAACCCAUGAUCAUCUUCUUAUUUAACUUAAAGAGGGAUUUAUUUAUAUAAUAUAGCUAAAUAUUACUUAAGUUCUGAAAGUAUCUUUUUACGCGAGGAUCGACAUUUUUAGAUGAAGAUCACCGGUUACUCAACACUUCAUAUACUCAAGUUGCUUUGCAUACUCUUAAUUCAAGUACCGUUUUACGCGAAAGUCGACAUUUUUAGAUGAAGACACCCGGUUACUAAGUACAAGAAUCAUUGGAGUAGAACAAAUCUUCUAUUUUCGUCUUUUUCUUUUUUUUUCUUCAUUUUUUCAUUUUUCAUCAUUUUUUUAUUUUAUUUUUUUUAGUAAAGAUAAUAACAUUCCCUUGAAAGCAUAAUCAUGAGAAGAGUAUUGCAAUUAUUGACCAUAUUUAUCACUUAACUUAUAAAAUCAAAUAAAGCGAAGAAAUUUCAUCAAAUAUGCAAAAAAAAAUAUAGGCAUAAUUUUCUCCACUUUAAAAGAUAUACUUUCCUACAAAUGCAAAAAUUAUAAUCACAUAAUAGUCAUUUCCAAGUUGAAUGAGAAAAGAAGUUUUCAAAUCACAUAUAUUUAUCUCAAAUGUAGAAGGAGUUUGAACUACUAAUGGUAUGGAACUUGUUACCCCUUGGAUAAAAUUGAAAAAAUUUAAAAAUUUUUGGGGCAAGUUUGCAAUUUUGGACAAGAUUUUAGAAAAAUUUUGAAUUUUAACACAAGUCCAAUAUUUGCAACUAAUAAGUCAAUCACAUACAAUGUAUAUAAUCUCAAUUCUCCCCCCACACUUAACAUACACAUUGUCCUCAAUGUGUAAAAAGGAAAAUCAAGAUAAAGAAAGUAAUACUCCCCUAUGAUGUGAUUGAAUAUAAAGCUUCAAAAUCCAUUGUCCGUGUAUCUCCAAUGCUUCAUGAGUUCCAUUGGAUAACCAUUAGUGAUGUAAUCCUAAAAAUGAAAAAUGAGAAACAAAAGUGAUAACAAAGGUUUAAUAAACAAAAUGGUGAUCCGUAACUUCAAUCCCUUGUUUUGGUGAUGUACUCAAAUCGAGGGGUUGAGUUCCUUGAUCAAACUUCGCCUUUUUCACCUCAUUUGGUCACUUUUGCUUUUAUUUCCAAUACCUAUAAAUGAAAAAUAACGAAAUAACUCAAACACAUACUUUAAACAUAAAAUCACACCAAAAUAACAUAAAUAGCCAAAACAUUGGGUUGCCUCCCAAUAAGCGCUUUUAUUUAUAGUCGUUGGCUCGACUAUUGAACCUCAUUUUUCAAGGAGGCUUGAUUAAAGAAUAAUCCACCAUUUUAGGUCGUGGUGGAUCAUUAAAAGGUGACUUUAUAGCAAAAGUCACAUGUUCUAAUAAUGUGAGAAAUGGAAGUGACUUACAUAUUCCAAGUGUUUCAUAGAUAUUACUUUGAAUAUGCACCACUUGAGAACUUACCAAAGGAAAUGCCAUGAAAGUAUCUUGAGCAGGAAUAUCUUUAAAACCUGUACUUUUUAUACACUCCUUAAGAGGGGUGAAAAUUGAGUCCUUAAAACUCACCUCUUGAGGCUCAAAGUUAGUUCUAAAAAUAUUAUCAUGUGAAAUGGACAUUUUCUCAUUGAAACACAAGUUAGAAUCAUCAUUUUGAUCAAAAUGUAACCCAUUUUCACAUACAACAUUCCCACCAUUUAUGCUAGGAUCUUUUUGCAAAUUGUUAGAGGAAAUAACUUCACACAAUGCACUCAAUUGCUUAUGUAUUUGACCAAAGUGAGAAGCUAAUCCAUCUAUUCUUUCCUCAAUCCUAUCAAAACGGUCGGAAGUUGCAUUUGCUAGCUUUUCUAUUGCUAAAUCAAAUUGAUUAGAAAAAUUUCCUACAGCUAGCUCCCAAGAUGCAUUAGAAUCAUUAGCUAAUGGUUCACUUUCUAACUCCCAAGGUAGAGGUGUAUUAGCUAACUUCUCUAUUGCCAACUUCCAAGAUGGUUUUGAUUCAUAUUGGACAAUUUCAAAUUGGUAAUCAUAAAAAUAUGGAUAAUCACUAUAUGCACAUUGAUUUUCCCAACCAUAAGAAAGAGAAUUGCUCCAAUUAGCACUGUAUUGAUCAAAAUAAGGAUUGUAAUGCUCUAAUUCAUCAUAAUAAUCCACAUUUUGUGCUUGCAUACAUGUGUUAGUAGCAUGAUAACCUCCACACAAGUCACAAAUCACAUGAUAAGAAUUAAAAGCAUUAACAUUCCUCCCUUGCUCAAUUUCAUGCAUAAUUGUGUCCAUUUGAACUUGUAGCAUUAUAACAUCAAAUUUAGCCUUUAAGCACCUUAAACCAUCUUCAAAAGACUUACAUUCAGUAAAUUCUUGGUUACCUCUGUUGAAGGAGUUUUGCACUUGGUAACCAUCCAUUGCCAAACUUCCACUUCUCAAGCAUUGUCCUCCAAAUUGACAUAUCCUUCUCAUCACCUAAAAUUGCUUUUAAACAAUCUCAAAAGCAAAAUUAGUAAGAAAAAUAGGUAAUGAAACAUAUAUACACAUAAAACACAAAAAUAACAGAAAAUAACAUUCACACUAUAACUAAUGAAAUAUCUAAACUAAUAAAGUUGCUCUUCACACUAAUAUUGCCAAAUCUUCCCCGGCAACGGCGCCAAAAACUUGACGGGUAUUUUACAUACGUGCAAGUUAAAAAAAACCGAAUUACACCCGUUCACUGCAAGUAUACAGGUCAACUAGUAGUUUAGAAUAUAUAUCGGGUCGAUCCCACAGGGAAGAGUGAACAAUUACCGGUAUUACUAAAGCUCCUCUAUUAUUUAGACUAUCAAUGAAUUAUAACAAAUUUAACCUACUGAAAUUAUACAAAACAACAAAUAAAAGCUCCUUAGAUUGUGGUAUCCCCAACUACUCAUGCAAUUGCCAUUUUUGGAUUAUUGAGUACUAUUAUCUAGGCUAGUUAUGGUGUAAUUUCCAUAUGCAUUUGAAACCUACUUUCGUAGUGAAUCAACUAUACUUAUAACUAAUCCAUACCUAUUCUCAUGGUUAUGAAAUUAGCUACAAGUUCAUUUCUUCAAUGAAAUUACAUGAAAUGAAUCACUAAAAAUCACAUAGGUGCACCUCUACUUUCGUGAGUGCACUCCCUAUGUUUAGCACUUCUUGAACUAGUGUUAAAUCUCAAUUUUCAUUGCAGAAACAACACCUUGGAUAAUCACAGUCAAUGGUACCGGAUUAAUCAUGAUUUAAAGAGCCAAAGUACUAAAUAACUUGCUCAAAUCAUAGCAAUCAAAUAACCAAAUAAUAAACACUAACAAUUAUAGAAGGUUCAACCAAACCCAAGGUAUAAACUUUAGAGACACAUAUUAAACACAAAAUCCAGAACUUGCAUAUUAACUAAAUUUGGAAUCAAGUACAAAAGAUAAAGAGUUGGAAAGGAAUGUAACCCAUGUCACUUGAGCUCAUCACCUUGCCUUCUUCAUCUCCAUCUUAAUCCUAGUCUAGCAAUAUACAAGAGUGGAUGAACUACACUAGCUAAACUAUCCUACACUAAGGAAAUGGAAGAACUACAUUUCUGCACUCUUCAAGCUUCUCCCGUAUGAUAAUUCUCUAUCCCUCUGAUUGCUCUCUAUAUAAAACUGAUAUGAGGUACCUUUCCACUGGUCCAAAAUUUCUGCUAUGAUUCUCCAAAUCUGAAUUUGUUAAGGAAGUAAAAAAUAAUGGCUUUUGACUUGGAAGAAGCCAUGUUGUAUGCUCUUUGUCUUCUGAAGCAUGUUCACCGAAUUCCCUUGCAACUUAUAGCUGGAAAGUAGUCUGAUCACAAGAGAAAUGGGUGAGCAACUUGCAGAAUUUCGGCCAGAAAACGCGCCAGCACAAAACGCGCUUACAGUCGCGUUUUCUUCAACUCGCGUAUUCAACUUGGCCUCACUUACACUGCAAUUUUCUCCAUGAUGAAAGCAGAACUGGCUUUUGUGUAAAACACAAAAGUUGUAGCCCCUUGAAUUAUCUUUCCAAUGCUUCAAGAAUCAUCCAAAUCGGAUCUUUGUAUCCUGAGAUAUGAUCGAAAUACCAUAAACUGGUCAAUUCUGGGCUACAGUUUUUGACCAUCCAGAUAAGUUUCUGUGUUUCGACUUUUUGACCAAGAAAACAGCUGAAUUGGACUUUGAUGUCUUCAUACCAAAUGUAUAUAUAUCUCUUAGUUUCAAAAGGGUACCAAGAUCACCUUGAUCCGAUCUGUGUAGCUCCAGAUAUAGUCAAACUAUGAAAAUAUGUCUGAGUUGUCAAAGCUGAAUUUUUCUUGAUUCUUUUGUUCUCAAAUUGCAUUUCUCCUUUUAUACUUCAUAUUUUAUUUUCACCACUUUAAUCCAUCUUUAAUCAUCCAAAUAUCUUCCCAAUGCACUUCAUUUGAUGAUUGAAUCAUUAAACCUACAAAAUAUGAAGUUUUUACCGUAAAAAUCAAUAGAAAUAUAAUGUUAGCCACUUUAACAUAAAAUGUAGAUUUUUAUCAAAACCUUAGUUAUUUUAGUUAUAAAACUAAAUAAUAAAACCAAAAUUAACUAAUAAAAUGUACUUAAAAAUACGUAAAAUAAACCGUUAUCACUCUCCUUUUCCGCACCAAAGAACCAACCCCAAUCUCCACUUUCCUUUUAUUUUUCCUAUAGCCAUUAAAUGGUGUCAAAGUCGUUAGCAUUAAAAUACUAAAUAAAUUUCAUUCCAUUUCAAGCUCUAGUUUAUUGUAUCCUAAUAUUUUACACACCACACCCCCCAAAAAAUGAUGAUCAAGUUGGCUAGCGUAACUGAAAUUCGUCAACUGUGGUUUUAAUCAAGUUGCUUGGUGCUUUCUUACCCCGUAUAGGCAUCAAUCAUAGCAUACAAAUUUCUUUUUGAUAUUUUACCAAACACCUUAUAUGCAUUCCCAAAUUAACCAUGUUUCACAUAAACGCCUACACACUACUAUGUUUCACAUAAAGGGUCUAAGAUAUUUCCCACAUAUUUUUCAACAAACUAUUGACAAUCAAAUCAAAUGAAAGAUAAAUAAAUUAAAGCAAUAUAAUCAAACGAUUUUCAAGAAAACAUGAUGGUCUAACCUCUUGGCUGCUAUUUUUCAUCUACUCUCUUGCCAGCUACCACCACCGCAGCCCUAAUCAAAAUCUCAACCCUUUUGUUGGGUCUGCAUAUGCCAGCAUCCAAAACCGAUUGAUCAGGAAGGAAAGAGGGAAAGUGUGGACUAAACAGGAAAAUUUUGCGAGGAAAAAAUUUCCAUUCCAUCAUAUUGUGAGGUGAGAAGAAAAUAAGAAGAAGGCAAGCGACUUUAGAGAGAUGUGAUAACCCAAAAUUGUUUCAGAAACCGGUGAUUUUUUUAACUUAAGUAUGUAAAUUUUUUACUUUUAGUAUUAGUAAGUUUAAUUUUAAAAAAGCAAAUUUUGUCAAAUUAUAAGUAAAUUAUAUUACUCAAAGUGUAAAUUUCUAUUUCUUCUAAAACUUACUCUUUCAGGUAUAUACUUACUAAUUUUAAUUAAAAACUUACUAACGUUAAUAUUAAUUAUUUUAAUACAAUAUUUAAAAAGACGCUAAAAAACUUGAUUUGUCACUGAAGUUAAUAGAAACCUACUUAGGUUUCCUUAAUAUUGUUACCAUAACUAUAAGCACUGUAGCAUUAGUUUCCCAAUUAUCUGGAAGAGACUCUGAGUAUACCAAAUUUGGAAAGCAUUACCUUCUUGCUGGAAGACACGGUAGUUGACGUCAGCAUCAGUUGAUACAAUGAUUGGCUGCCCAACUAUACUCGUGCGAAAAAUUGGCCCGUACCUGAAAAUUCCCAAAAAAAAAAAGAAACAAAGAAAGGCUAGUUAAGAUAAAACAUUCUUAACUAUUACUGCUGUAAUAUUGUUAAAAUUUAUAUGUGAUAGCUGGUUAAGAAGUGGUUAGAUAAUCACUGGAUUAUUGAGGUUGGUCCAAUAAUUAGGAGAGGGUAUUAAAAUUUUCUCUAUAGUUUAACGCAAUAUUCAAAUUCUGUAUCUGAUAGUUGAAAAUGAGUAAGGUGCGAAGAAAAAUAAGAGUCGAAAAAAUAAAGGGUUAGACAUACCUAGCCGCUCUUUUUUGUACGAAUGGUGGAAUAUCAUCUGAUGCAUAAGGGGUGAAGUACUGAAUUGUUUCUCCUAUAAUUGGUAGUCCCAUCGAACCUGGUGGUAAUUCCCCGUUGCACUUGGGGUUUCUCCACGUAUAUGCCCAGUGGCUGAAAAGCACAAUAUUGAGAGCAAUAAUACCCGUCUAUGAAUAGAUGGGUAUGAAUAUCUUAAAUUUUUGUAUAUGGAUAUAAAUGGAUUACCCAAUAAUACCCAUUUAACCCAUCAAAUCCAAUUAAUCCAUUUAGAAUUCUCUUUCCCAACCCAUUUUUUUUUUCAGAAUUUUCAUUUUGUCAUGAUAUUAACUACUUUUGUUUCAUUAUUAUUAUUAUUUGUUGAUUUUAUCUUAUUAUUUUAUUUUCUCUUAGCUUGUUAACUUGUUCAUUUUUCAGCAUUACCAAUUUAUGAUAAGUUUUAGUUUCUUUUCUUAUCUUUCUAAAAUGAAAUUUUAAAUUUAUAUAUGAAAAAAAAUGUUAGGGGUUCAAAAUUUUUAGAUUAACUUUUAUAGUACUUAGUUCAAAUUUUAUAUUCUUAUUAUUCAAUUAUUAAAUAAUAUAUAAUUUUGUGACAUAGAGUAUAAAUGGAAAAAAAAUUGGCAAUUAGGCUUAUUGAGCAUUAUAAGUAAAUAUUUAAAACUAAUGAUGGGUACAAAGAGCGGUAUAAAUUAAUAACUUAGUUUGUAAAAAUGAAUUUAAAUAAGUUUAUAAAAAAUUAAAAUAAAUAGGUUAUAAAUGGGUAAUUGGGUUAUUCAAUUCAUUUUUUGACUUACCCAUUUAUACCCAUCUAAUUAAAUGGAUAUAAAUGAGUAGACUCGCUUAUAUCCAUUAUCUAUUUUAUACAAUUCAAACCCGUCCAAAUCACUCAUUUUGACAUCUCUAAUUAAUAGACAUAUUACCUGAUGACACAAAUUUCACCUGCAAUUUAUAAAGAGUCAAAAGGAAAAAUCGGCUGCGGUGGAAAGUCAAUGUGAGGCCAAUAGCGCUUGGUCACGGCGGCUAGAGAGGCCAAAAAAAAAAGUCUAUCUACAAAUUCAAGCCACGUGCAAGGUAGAAAUCUCGUGAAAUUACUAGAGUGCAUUUGGAUUGUUGAAUUAUUUUACAUGAUAUUUUGCUUGAAUCAUAAAUAUAUUUUUUAAUUUAUUUUUUAGUUAAGUAUGUCGUAUCAUAAAAAAUAUUAUAAGAAUUAUUUUAAAUAAUAUUUUAUUCAAAUACACUCAGGGAAAGCUCUGCCAUAUUUUUUAUAAUAAUGAUUUUAAAUCUCACUGCGGUGACUUUUGGUAACAUGUCAUAGAUAUCGUCUCAGCGACGCUUAUCAAAUUAUAUUGUCAUAGUUCGAGAAGAUUAGCAGAAAAAAAAAAGCGAGAGAGAGAGAGAGAGUCAGGAACCUGAAUAUCUUUAUUCAUUUUAGUCAAAGGGAAAACGUCUAUGCUUUUUGGAAGCCAAAUUUGACGCUCCUGGUUGAAAUAGUGAAAGAAUGGACUUCUGAUUUGGUCUUUCUCUCUCCUCUUUACUAACAAAAGUCUUUUUUAAUUUGUUUAUCUAUUGUUUGGGUAAUUUAGUCAUUACAAUUUGCUGCUUUUUAGUUCACUUAGUUAGAUCUUUUGAUUAUUGUAGUAUGUUCUGAAUUGUUACUCAUAUUUUUUUUUCUUUGAAGCAAAAAUUUGAAAAAUAGAAUACACGAAUUUCUACUCUCAGGAAAAGUCAAGCGAGAAAGAAUGACGAAAAGAAACAUAUUACCAUACCUGGAUGAUAGUGCUUCAUUUCUUGAAAUGGAUGAUCAUUUGUGGUAUUAAAUAGAUAAUCAGUCCAAAAGAGUUUUCAUAAAGUAUAUGCUGAGGAAAAUCUAAGUGGUUGAGGAAAAUCUAAGAAAUAGACAAGUGAAGCCACAAAAAUUGGUGAGAAAAUAUUCACAACAAAGAAUAGACUUACAUGCAUGAAUAAAAUAACUUUGUCAAGGUACCUAAACAUACAAGAAUAGAAUAAAACAAUUUUACACGAGACGCUCUUCACGUUACGUGUCACAAGAAUGAAAAAUAAAUAAAAUUAUACGAGUAGAUGAUAAUUUACACACAUUAAAGUCCAAACUCUCAAACGCUGGAAAAUUAAUUUCAUCCCAUGCAGGGACGAAAUCUCAGGACAUCCUACCAAAAUAUGCUUCUUUCUGUCUCUAUUGAAUGCUUCUUUCUGGUCAAUUCAUGCAAACCCUCUAGCUAUUUGCAAGUUGGGACGACGUAUUGCGUGACAAUUUCAAUGAGCAGUACACUAUCAAAUUCAACUUUCGCCUUCAGAAAUUCAAACUCUGUAAAAUUUUUCCCUUUUAGAAAUGGAAAUUUGUCAUUUUAUCAAAGACUUUGACAAAAACCCCAAUAGCUUUGCAAUAACUUUGACAAAAAUACAUAAAUAAGGCAGGCUGCUCGAGUACGUAAAUUACGACCAAACAAGAAGAAGGGUUAUUGCACCAAAGAGGGCAGGCUGCAAAGAGUACGUAAAUUAAUUUAGAGUAAUGAUGUUUUAUAUAUAUAUAUAUAUAUAUAUAUAUAUAUAUAUAUAUAAAUUGAAAGAUCUUGAAUUCAGUAUCUUUUAUAUACAAUAUUAUCUAUCUUACCAUCUAACUCAACCAUUCUCGAAGCGACAAAAUAACAUUUCUUUCUGUACAAAAUACAUAUUAACCUAAGAGAUUUUGUUUUAAGGAUGAAGCUCAAACAUUGAUAAAGUAAUAAAAGAUUUUCUCUGUCAUGAUCACUUAAACUAUGUGUGACAAAUCCCGGGGUCAUUAUGAUCUUGUAUAUUUCAUUAUUUGUCUGUUCUGAACAUUUUUAUAAUCUCUUCUCGGUGCUGGCAGACUUCCACCCUUUCUUUUCAUAGGUCCCUUUUCAAUUAAUUUUCAAGCGUCUCCGCAAUGAUUUGCAUUUUUAAUAGGGCAGGUGGCGCCCUGGACUGAAUCAAAAGCAUCAAUUAAAGCCUAACUGCGAGAUUGACUACCAAACAAAUCAACUUUUGGUUUUGGUUUCUUAAUUUGGAUUGUGUUUGGAUUGCAUUUUUCUAGAUUUUUUGUAGAAAAAUUAUUGUAGGAAUUUGAUAUAUGUGAGAUAAAAAGAUGAUUGAAAAAUGUGUUCACAAAAAGUAUAGCAAUUUUUCUUUGAAAAAUGGCUGUCCAAACAAGAUUGGCCAACAGGAAUGCAAGUCUGGAAAUGAGAAAGCAUGUCACUUGGGCUCAAUUUCACGUUCACAUCAAUAACCCUUCUUGUUAAAAAUCAGAUUCUGACGGAUCAGAUCUGCAAUAAUUCGAGAUCAUUUACGUCUCCAUCCAUUUUUUUGCCAUUGUGUGAUCCGUGUAGGUAGGAUGUCCUGAGAUUUCGUCCCUGCAUAGGAUGAAAUUAAUUUUCCAGCGUUUGAGAGUUUGGACUUUAAUGUGUCGUUCCAAACUAGAAGCAAAUCUCAAAGUGUGUACAGUUUAAAAGUAGGGGGAUGUAUAUCUAUAAAGUCAAAGUAAAAUAUUUAUUAAUUCAAAUAAAAUAUCUAUUAUUACAAAUCUCUAUCCUGUAUAUUGUCAUAUAUUUUAAUAUUAUAAUACUUUUUGUGAUGUAAUAUGUGUAAGAAAAAAUGUAGUUUAAAAGAUAAAAAUGUGAUUAAAAACAUAUUUAUAAUGGUACUAAAAUUUUUCUUAUCCCAUAUCUAAACAAGCCCAUUGUGUGCAUGUUACCUUCAACUUUAUUAGAUUUUUUGAGUAUUUUGAAAAUGCAUUGUUAAGUAAUUGUCAAUAUCAACUAAAUGAAAGAAAGACAAAAAUAAGAAGUCCCAUCUCCCACGUAAUUGUCAAUAUCAACUAAAUGAAAGAAGGAAGAAUAAGAAGUGGAAACAAAUAAGGUGGAAAGAAGUCCAUCUGCCGUGUAAUAGUUCGAAUCAUUUACAAAAAAAAAUGAAAAAAAAGAAAAAAAAAGAAGAAGUUCUGACUGUUUCUUUCUCGUGUGGAUAGUGAACUGUUUAUUAGUUCAUCACCUUACCACAUUCUCAUCAAAUGCAGUGGAUUUUUAUUGCUUUAAAAAUAACUCAUUUUAUCUACUCCUAAACUAUACUAUAAAUAGACCUAAAAAAGGACAUCAACAAAUCCAAGAUCGACUAAGAUAGGAGAUAAGUAAAGAAAAGAGAAGAAAUUAAAUCAAUCAUUAAUUGAUUUACCUAAUUGGAAAAGCAAUUUAUGAUAAAUUACUCGCUAUAUAUACACGUGCAAUGCGUGUGCAUUUUCCUAGUUUGAUCACUAUAAAGAAUAAGGAUUUGGCUCAUCUCCACUAAAUUCUAUCUUCAUUUUUCAUAAUACACAUCUAGAUGCAUAACAUGUGUUUUUAUUUAUUAACAAAUCUUAAAAUUAGUCAAACUUGAAAUGAUCUUGUCCCCUUUUAAUAAAUAAAGACACAUGUGAUUCAUUCAUAUGUGCAUUAUAGGAAAUGGAAAGAUAAUUUAUUAGAGAAGAGCCAAAUUAUUUGUGAAUAUUAUUUUAAUAAUAAAACACUAGAAAAUUUGGUGGUCAUUCAAGUUUUCAAGUCUCAAAAACUUGGAAAGUAAGAUAAGAAGGUAAACUUGCAAAUCAUAUAUAUACAUAUAAUAAAGUCGUAUUCUCAUUCUUAUCGAUUCAUGUUUUCUUUUUCUUACGUGGCUUAACGAGACGGCAAGUAGUUUUCUACGUGGCUUGCUCUUUUUUUGUUUGGAUUUAUAUCAAUUCUUAUUUCCUAUAUUAUAUGAUUAGUUUGAUAAGAUAUAUCAAUUCUUAGUCGGAUAAGAAUUGUUAGUCCGAUAAGAUAUAUCAAUCAUACUAAGAUAUAUCAAUUCUUAGUCCGAUAAGAAUUGUUAUCACUACAAGAAGUAGAAAAGUAACUAAUUUCAAUUAAUAAAUCAUCUUUUCUUCAAAAAAAUAGUUAUUUGGACGAUUGUGGUUUUAUUUCCUAUAACAAUUCUUAAUAUUUUUUAAUCAAAUUUUCACCUCAUAUAUAUAAAUUUUCAUGGGUUUUGUUGUCUAGAAUUUUUGUAAUGAAAUUGUUUUCAGCGAGCCAAAAGAUUCUUUUUUUAAAAAAUAUGUUCAUCUUCAGAUGUAAGAAUUUUAUGGAAGUAAAUGCUAUUGUUGAUUACGUCCCAUGUUGUUCUUAAAUUUUUAAUAAUCAAUUGACUAAGAUAUUUCUUCACGAAAUUUGUGUCUUUAACUAUUAUUACUGUUAGUUACUUUAGUUGAAUUUUUUUUGUUAUGUCUGACACUACAGUUAAAUAUUCAUAUUAUAAGCAUUUGGCCUAUGCCUCUUGAGUGUGGCUAAUUAAAUCCUGCUUUCCUAUCAUGCAGUGAUAAUGGAAAAUCAAUAAAUGCUAAGUUGCACGGACAAACCGAGGAGAAUUUUCAAACAGAAGAAAAACAAAACAAGUUUCUGAAGAGUAUAAUAUUAUUUAAUACUAUUUACUGCACUUUUUAUUUAUUUUUAAGUUUUUGAAUGUUAUUUUUUCCAUUUUUGAAUUAUUAUUCACUGAAUUAGAUGUUCAAAUUUAUAUUAUAAGAAUACUUUAUAUUACAAUGCGCACAUAGUAAUAUACUUAAGACAAGUUAUAAUAGAUUAUACAUUAAAUUUGUAUUUUAUAUUGACAUUUUCAUAAAAUUGACUAAAUAGUUUAUUUUUUUUCGACGAUUCCCGUUCAACAAACAGGUACAAAACUAGUUUGAAUAUAAAAUUGGCAAAUUUAGCUAGAAAAAAAACACUUUAAAAGUACUUUUAUCACCUAAAAGUACUCUUUUACCAAAAGUAAUGCAACUCCAAAUGGUGCCUAAAUAUCUAACGAAAUUACCUCUUGAUUGCAAAAAUGGUAAUUUUACUACCAAAAAAAAAUGAAAGUUACCAAUUCUUUUUUUUCUGAAGGAAUUACCAUUUCUUUCACUAAUUUUACUACCAAAAAAAAGUGUCAGAUACCAUCUUAAACCAUCUCCUCUUAUUCAAAAAGAAAAAUGGAUAAUUUCAAAAAUUUCCCCGAGGUUUCUAACAAUGUCACUAGACUCUCCUGAAGUUUUCAAGAUUACACAAACCUCCCCUGAGGUUAAGGUUUUGUUAACAAAAUUAGUUCAAUUAGAAAUAGUAAUAUUAAAAAGGUACUUGAAGGAGAGAGAUGAAACUUUUAUUUUAUAAAUACCCCUUAUGCAUGUAUAUAAGUUGUAUUAGUAAAAAAAAUAAAAAUAAUUAAAAGUUAGAAACAAUUAAUACAUACAUUUCACCACUUAAAAGUUCACAUUUAAUAAAUUAGGCAAUACAAAUAAGCAACAAAACUACACUAAUAAUCAUAAGAUUCAAAACGACCUUCUUUCGUUUGUGAUCAUUAGAGUAGUUUUGUUGCUUAUUUGUGUUUUCUAAUUUAUUAAAUGUGAAUUUUUUGAGCGGUGAAAUAUGUAUAUUGAUUAUUUCUAACUUUUAAUUUAUGGAACAAAAAUUCCAUCUCUCUCCUUAAAGUACUUUUUUAAUGUUCCUUUUUUUAAUUGGACUAAUUUUGUCAUCAAAACCUUAACCUCAGGGGAGGUUUGUGUAAUUUUACAAAUUUCAGGGAAGGCUAGUGAAAUUAUCAGAAAGUUCAAGGGAGGUUUCUCAAAUUAUCCCAAAGAAAAAACAAAAGAAAAUCCUCCACGGCUGCUGCAGCCUGCGGCCAUCUCCUCAACACUGCUCACCUAAAUUGAUGAUCUUGCUUAAUUUUCAAUUCGCCUUCAAAGCCCCAUCGCUCAAAGGGAUUCCUUUUGCCCAUUUAGGGAUUCCAUGACUUAGAAAGUUCAGCAAAUUUCAGUUGAAUUCUUAGUACUUUACCUUGAUUUCUCUUUUCUCCCUUUCUGUUAUGGUACAGAACCAGAGUCGCAGCAAUAUGAGAAUGUUGCAAACUCAAAAUAUGGGUUAAUCGCGGCAAACAAUCAAUGGAACAGUGAAUUUGGAGAUUAAAAGAUGAACUCAACUUUCAUUAAUGAACUUCAAUAUUAGGUUACAAGAACAGAGAAUACGAAUUCAGUGAGGAAGGGGAAAGAAAUUGAAGGAAAACUUGGGAGGAGGGAAACGAGAUUGGUGGCCCAAAUCUCUUACAAUCAAAGCUGGAAAAUAAUGACAAAAGCUACUCUAUACCGCAGACAUGCCUGCUUAUAUCACUAUCUGUGCUAACAAACUUUCAACUAAACCAAUGAACUCUAAACACGUGUCCUUUCAUAGCUACAAGUGGCAAUGGUCCUCAGUUUCUGUUCGAAGCAGAUGAAACCCAGCAAAGGCGUGGUUUGUGGGCACGCCUUCGAUGACUCACUUAUGCAAAACUUCACGCUUUCAGCUUCUGACAUCACGACUUCUUCAUUUCUGCUUCUUAGUUCAUUUCUUCAGUUCCAGUCUAACCUUUUAGCUCCAUCACAAUUUCAUGUUUGUUCAGGGUUCCGACGACUCUUUUGAAAUUCACGAGGGCGGCAGCUUUGAUUUCGAUGGGCUUUGAUUUUCUCCGGGGCGCUGUUAUGAUUCACGCUACAACCAUAGUCAGUGCAAGUGUGAUGGCACAUCGACACUCUUGUUGUCUCCAUGAUUAUCAUCGGUAUUGAUCCUAAAGUUACAGUCUUCUUUGUUUUCCUUUUUCCGCCUUCAUUUUGUGGCUUUCUUAUUAUUUUUAAUGGGUUUCCAUUUUUCAAUUUCAUCUAGGGUUUAAAUUACUGAUAAAUUUUUUAUUAUUAAAAGAGUAGGUUGACUGGAAUGAAUCCAUCAUCUCAUAAAUAGUUCCUCUUCACAUUUGGAUGCCAUACUAUAUGUAGUUUUCUUCUGGUAUCAAUCUAAAUUUUUUGUUUUUGAUUCUAUUUGAUCCACGUUUAACUACUUGCUGCUGAGAGUAUGAAAAUGCAAUUUUAAUUUAGAGGAAUUUACUUUCAUUUGGUGAUGCAAUGAUUCUUAGGGAUGUGCUAUUGGUACAUACAAAGAUGUUGAAGGAUCUGAUGAAAAUCUCUGCAAACCUUGUUCCCUUGACUGCCUUCCUAGUCAUGCAUUUUUUAUCUAUGUAUGAGGUGAUGUAAUGCAAUGAGCUUUAAGUUUCUUAGAAGUCCAUUUCUCAAUUAUCUGCUUCAUUAUUGGACAUGAUAGAUCUAACUUUAUUUUGGGUAUGAUUUGCUACAGGGGAUGUUACCAAAUCAGUUUGUCCCUACAAAUGUAUAUCCAAAAGGUACAGAAUGCCCAACUGCUAUACCUCUUUUGACGAGUUGAUACAUACACUUGAAGGUCCCUGGCCAUUCUCACUCUUAUCAGCAUGUCUUGCACUCCUUCUAGCUCUAGUAUUGAGCACUUUGAGGAUCAAAUUGAUUGGGUUGGGAUGUUCACAUAUCAAUGUGAAUUCAACUGAGCUCCAAAAUCAUCAUCAUUCUCCUUAUCUUCUCACUUUAUCUGACGUAUGGUCUUCAUUAACUUUUCGGUUCUAGGAUGCAUCUAUGUAGUAUUGCCAAAUUGGCAAUUUUUAUUUUUACAGUAAUUUAUUUGCAUAACAUCUAGGUCUGUGGUGCCAGAGCCGAAGAAACUCAGAGCCAUGUCCACAUGAUGUAUUUUUAUGGUCCCAAUACUUUUAGAUAACCGUAUAAUCUUCCCUAUUUGCCUCCCAACGCAAUUGUUGAGAUUGUGUAAACAUUCACAUGUAAUUUGAAGUUUUUGGGUAGUAGGCAAGGGUUUAGAAGAAAAAAACUUGUUCACCUUGGAACCUUAUAUGUAGGAGUUUAAUUUAUUAGUUCUUUUGUCAUCUUUGAUUACGAGACAAUUUUGAAUGCUGUACAUAUUUUUCCUUGCCAUUUUAAAAGACUGUGCUUAAGUUCAUGAUUAUUUAGUAACUUUUGAGUUUUACACCUGAAAGUUAUUAGUCUUUCUUCUUAUUCAUUAAUUUUUAUUCCACAAAGAUACAUAAGUUAAUCUUUGAUCCAUUUCACUGAGUCAGAAUUUUGACUUCUUUUCCAAUGAACUGUACUUGGUUGAGGCUCACUUAGCUUCAACUUUCUGGUCUGAUACAGCGAGAAUAUGAGAGUUUUUCUAAACAAAAUUUUACUUCAUUUGCAAAAUUUUCAAGGUUACUCAUGUGCUAAUGGUGAUUAACAGCAGGUAUGAAGGUGCUUUGAACAGAUUUAUAGACGAGAUCAACUCCGUUGCAGCAUAUGAACGGUGGGAAGGGUCAGUGCAUAGCACAUGCUUGCUUAAUCUUGUUCCUGGUCCCGGAAACAAUGGCGUUGGAGUAAUAAAGUUCACCAUUGUCAGGAGUAUGUUUAGUCUGAGUAUGACCAUUCUUGUAUAUGAUCCUGCAGAUCGCCAGCAUUAUACAAAGGAAUGAAGGUUUGACUUUGUUGCUAAGAGUGAAACUCUUUGGCCCUGUGGAAAUCUGAUCAAAAUUUUGUGGCUCAGGAAUUUGCAGCCUAAUACUUCUUUUAUGCCCUGCAAGACAAUGAUGCUAGUAUGAAUUUGGUGUAUUUAGUUCAAUAGAGUAUUUUCUUAUGUUGAUAUGGCCUAUUAAUUCGGUGUAUUGAAUUAAAAUAGCUUUAAAAAGUUUAUUUAUGUAAUAAAAGUUGUUUAAUUAAGAAUUUUAUCUGCAUAUCAGUAGCCAAUUGCUUGAUUACAUAUUUGCUAAAGUUGUAAAUUAACCAAUGUCUGGGCAUGCUCAUGCGUUGCAUUAGGGCUCACACAAGUAUUCUAGUCCAAAGAACAAAGAAUUUGAGAUCAUCUACAAAGGCGCUGGAAUUGGAUGAGAAGUUGGAAGAGGAGAAUUUGACGAUUCUACUCUUCAAACAGGGCCAAUUCCAAGCUUCAAGCAGUCAAUUAGCCAACUAAGUCCAAUAUCAUCUUUCUUUGCCCUUUUUUGAUUUCCUUCCUCCAAUACUCUGUCUUGCUUAAAGCUGAUGUGAAGGAAUUGUAUGUUUUCAGAUGUAUUAUGCAUUUAGUCAUAGAUAGUGUUAUAAGUUUAUACCUAGCAGUGUAAUUUCUGUUCUUUUUUCUAUUCUAUUGUUUGCCUUUUAUGGUCACUUUUGCGAACCUUUCCUUGCCAGACACGUGUCUGUUAAACAUCUUUGGCACUUUUCUUUUGAGGUAUCAUGAGCUCUAACAAGUCGCUCUAGCUUUAAUCGUAAGACCCUUCUGAUCCAUUACUCACAUGACUGCUGUAUAAGCUUGUUUCAUGUGUUCACAUGACAUGGUGCAUAUGCCUUUUUGUUUUGUUUUUUUUUUUCAAUUAUCCUUAGUAAUGGAUGAAUUUUUCUAUGUAUUUCUCUGUAGAAGAUCAAGAUGUUUUAGGUUGUCAAUUAAUCUUUUGCACUUAAUCUAAUUGCUAUGACAUCUCUUGUCCAAAGUAUGUUGUUACUUUUUGUCUUAUUUGUCCAUUUGUGGAUUUCCAGCUCCGCAAAAGAGUGUUUCAAGUUUCUCACUAGAUACCUCACAACAUUUUCUGAUGAAGAUGCAUAUGCUAUGAAUGAAGCAAAGGAAGAAGCAGUCCGUGCUAUAGUUGAUUUUCUGAAGGCACCUGGCAUGUUUCAAGUAUCGCUUGUCUGUCUCUUUGAAUUGCAUAUAAAAUGGUUGUGAGGAGCCUCAAGGCUUGGUUGAAUCUGACUUUAUGGAGCAUGAUUAUUCAUCUCCAAAUGUUACAUUAAAUUUUUCUUUGCUAUAAUUUUGAGCUAAAGUGUGACAUAUAUGCUAUUGUACUUCAUUAUCAAUAUGGUAUAUUGGAACUUAUUUGCGUGAUGUGUCACAACAUUGUGGAGUCAUUUGUACCUUGGAAUGUGAAGAAACCUACAACUCAUCAAUCAAGUUAGAUUUUGUUCUUGUUGUCUUGGAUUAUAGUAGUUGUACUUCUACUUCCAUAUUUAUUUGAAUAGUUGAUAGAUAGACGAACUUGUCAGAUGGUAUGUCUUCUUGGAAUAUAGCUAUAUGUCGACCUUGUAGAAGGUGAAAAGCUGUAUGUAUUUUAUGAAACCAGGGACAUAAUUUACUUUGUGACUUCUUGUUUUCAAAGACUGGUACUGGCGCCGGUGCACCUGGAAGUUGCUUGUGCUAUUAUGUUUUGGAUAAUAUUUCACUCUUGCUACAUGGAUAAUGAUUCUUUUAUGCGUGUUCUUGCUAGUGGGACUACCAUGUAAGCCUGCUGUGGCGCAGUUAGAGAAGGAUGCUAAACAUGCAUUGGUAUAUCAGCUCCUGAAGAUCUUCUUGACUCAAGUUUGAUGCUUACUCGGAUUUUCCUUGUUUCAUUGCUGCUGAAAAGCCAUUGACCACUUAGUUUCCUCGACAAAAUUUCUUUCUUUCGUUGUAGUUUAUGUCAUUUUUUGGGAUAGAUAUUUUCAGAUGAAUCUUAGUAGUGAUAGCUUAAUUGCUAAAGUACACAAAUACAACACUCAAUUUUCACUGGGGAUACCAGAUUGCAAUACUUAUUUAGAAGUUCUUUACAAUGAUGCAUUGGAUUGUAAGUUUUUUUCUUUUUUUUUGGUGUGUUCCUAACUCAUCUGGAAAAUAUCUCAAAUAUGAGGGUGUUCCUUAUUCUUUUUAGUCCAUUUGGUUUUAGAUUAGUCAAAAUUUAUAAUCAAUCUGUCAUUUUCCUAGUAUAUUUAUUCAAAUGGCCAAAAUAAGAAAUUUGAAAUUUAUAACCAAUUUGUUAACGAUCUAAUCUAUUCAAUCAAAUGGCAAAAACGAGCAAUUUAAUGUAUUCUUGCUCGUUUUUCCAUGGCCAAGAGUGAAAUUGGAAAAAACUGCAAACUUAGAUGUAAAAAAAUGCGAUGAAUCAAUUUGAUGUAUUCUAAAUCGAAAAUUUUGAUUUGCUAGAGAUAAAGGAACUUGAUUGCACAGUUGGUUGCCAAGUUAUAAGAUCUAGAUUUAGAUCCCUCUAGUUGAAAAUAUGGGAUAUUCCCUUGAAAUGUUUUUAUAAUGUAGAAUGGUCAUCUUGUUUAUUCUUGGUGGUUUUAUUGAUGAACUCGUAUAAUUUGUAUUGUAAAUUGGAGAAUCAAUCAAUUUUUGUUAUAGCGAUGAUAAGGUUCAUAUUUUAAAGUACUAAGUUCUACUAAAAUAAGAAAAUAUAAAAAUAAUGUUCUACAACAAUAAGCAUUGAGAUGAAUUUAAUAACAGUGACGUUUAUGGAAUAUUAGGUACAAACAAUUGCUAAAUAAGUUCUUUAGCAAAUGCACUCCUUGAUCAACGUGGUUGUUUAGAAUAAUGACGCUAAAUUAGUAGCAAUAGUUAUGAGUUUUUAUUGAUAGGAUAUGUUUUCUGUGUAAAUGAGGCGCUAACAAGAAGAAAUAUUUUAUUGACGAAUUUUUUUAUAUUUUUAUGUAGUCCCGAAUACUAGGAUAGAGAUUAAUCUUUCAUACAACUAGAAAUGCUAUUUAUAAUGAUCAGUCUUUUUUUGUGACUUUCAACAAAAUCUUCCACAAAAUCUUCACCGAAAAGGAUACUUUCGUAUGAGGGCUUCCACCUCGGCUAUCCCAAUUGUGCUCCUAAAAUGAGGGAGUUGGCCGAAAUCUAUUCUGGUGAGGUCUAGUGGAGCCGCUGGCUCCAAUACCCCCUCAUCUCGGGAUAUCUCAGAUUCGAGGUCGUCGUUAUAUAAGACCUCGGACUCCGUCUCCUCGGCUUCCGGAGAAAUCUCGGCUCUUUCUCCUCCUAGGUUGGCAAAGGUGUCUUCAACCUCCUCGGAAGGGUCGGAGCUCUCCGCUUCUUCGAAGUUCGGCCUCAUUGUCUUUUUAUGCGUAUGAGCUAUUCUAGCCAUACUUGAAAAAGAAAAUGGACUUACUAUUUUCUAAAGAAAGUAGAGGUCAGCUACUUCGCGCUAGCAAAAAAUAAUCUCAAUUGAUUGCCUCGGUUGAGUUGAUGUAACUUUCUCUCACAGUGAAAGUAAAAGGUGAAAAGCCCUCUAUUUAUAGGAGGGGAAAGGCAAACAGGCAGUCGUUUUGAAUUUCAAAAGACGUGUCCCCUCUUUUCUCAUUAAUGAGUGACUAUUCGUCUGACAUCCGUUCAAUGCAUCCCUCAAUGUCCAAGCCUUUAUUUCCCCCAUUGAAACUUGGCUUACCAUCAUCCCAAUGUGAGCCACAUGUCUUGUCAUUGUUCUGCGACUUAGCCUGGAGUAGGGAGGCAUGCUAGCUUUCCCCUCCCCAAGGCUGGGGGGCUUAUUGAGGGCGUUCACCUCGUCCCUCCUCGAUUUUACGACUGGGUGAGGUGACCUCCGCGAGUCCCUUGCCACCUCGGCUCAUUGUCUCACCCCCUAGGGUCGGCCUCAGUCUCUCCGAGGCGGCUUCACCUCAGCUUGACUUCCUAUCUGACAUCUAACAGACCACAGGAAAGGUUGACUUGUACACGACGGAAUGACAUGAUAGUGACAUGACUAUUGGAAAUAGUUAGUGAUAAAUUCCACAUUGAAAGUAUGUGAAGUAUGGAAGAGGUUUAUAAUCAAGGGCACACGUAUUCAAAUCAAUUUGGAUGGUAGGAAAUUUUGGAGGGAAACUUCAAAAUUGCACAUGCAUUUGUCAUGUUGACUAUUAAAUUAAAAUAUAAAUUUAAUGGUCAAAAGAUUGGCACUUGGCACUUGGGCACUUGGAUCUUAAGAACCAAAAUUAAUUUUAAUUAAUUUCGUUUUAAUAUUUCUUCUUAACUAAACGGUUUCCUUUUAGGGGUUAUAUCUGAUGAUACAGCGCAUGCAACCGUUAAGUGUCUAUUUAUUUUUAAAAGGUACAUAUUCAUGAAGAAAUACGUUUCUAAAAGACAUGACAUUUCUUUUGGGGUACCUGAACAUUAUAAAUAAGAGUAUACAGAUAACAAAAAACUCUCUUUUUUUUUUUUACUUCUGAUUUUCCUAUUCUUCUACUUCGUUCAAAACAAUAUUCUCUAAACUGUUUUUUGAGAGAAUUUCUACAUACUACUGUGUGGAAAUUCUGGUUGGCUUUGUUAUUCUUAGAUGGAAUUGCUCAAACCCAGUAGUAGAAUAGUGAGAGCAAAUUUCCUUAAGGAAAGUGAAUUUUCACGUCAAAGCCGUUUUCUGUUGUCAUAGUUAUUACUGUUUUACUAACAAUGACCACUGCUAUGUCCUUUCUAUCAGGCCUAAGUCUGACACUGUCAGCCUAAGGCCUAUGGGAAUUGAAGCUCAUCAUUCUUCCGACCAUAUUGUCUAUUAUAAAUACCCUUCCAUCCGUAGGAAAGGUACAUACAUACUCUAACUCAGACACAUAUUAGAAAUACUAAGGCCCUUGCUUUUAGUUUGCAAUUGCGUACCACUUGACCGGGGAACAAAGCCCUGUGCUCUUUAUGCAGAUUUGAUAGGUGAAUCCUUCGGUUCGGUCCAAUCAUUCGGAAUUCAGCUUUUCACCUUCAAAGCCCCAUCACUCAAAGAGAUUCCUUUUGCUCAUUUAGAGAUUCCAUGACUUAGAAAGUCCAACUAAUUUCAGGUGAAUUUGCAGUUCUUUGCUUUGAUUUCUCCUUUCUCACUUUAAUGUUUGUUCAGGGUUCCUACAACUCUUUUGAAACUCACGAGGGCGGCAGCUUUGAUUUAGAUGGGCCUCACUCUCCAGCGUUGUUAUGAUUCACGCUACAACCAUUGGCGGUGCAAGUGUGAUGGCACUUCCCGAAACCCUCCUGAAUAAAAUUGGCACUCGUGCUGUGUCCUCGGUAUUGAUCCUAAAUUUACAAUCUUUUUUUAUUAGAGAAAUUUACUGUCAUUUGGUAAUGCAAUGAUUCUAGGAAUGCACUAUUGGAACAUACAAAGAUGUUGAAGGAUCUAACGAAAAUAUCUACAAACCUUGUUCCCUUGAGCGCCUUCCUAGUCAUGCAUUUUUUUUUAUCUAUGUAUGAGGUGAUGUAAUGCAAUGAGCUUUAAUAUUCUUAGAAGUCCAUUUCUCAAUUAUUUGCUUCAUCAUUGGACAUGAUAGAUCUAACUUCAUUUUGGGUAUGAUUUGUGUUAGGUCUGGUCCCAGGAAAUUGACAAAAGGAUUUGUAGGAACCCCUAAAAGACAAAUAACAAAGCAGAAAUAAGUAAAACAAGAACACAAGAAUUUACAUGGUUCGGUCAAAUUGACCUACGUCCACGGGCGGAGGAGGAGCAAUAUUUUACUAUGAAGAAGAGAGUACAAAAGAUGCCUUAGGAAAGUGUUCCUAGGCCCAAAACACCUAAUACUAAAACACAAGAGAGCCUAAAAGUAUUUAACUAAACAAAAGGUUUAAUGACCCAAAGGCCCAAAUAGCCCACUAAUGCUCUUUUGGUCUUGUGCACUUAACCCCAUCACAGGCCCACUAUAUUUAUAGGCAACCAAGGGAAAGGUUCCCUUAUACAAAAGCCGAUGUGGGACAACGCCACACUAACAAAUCUCCACCUUGACGUGUCCCCAACAUCAACAGUAGCAAAACUGCUCCACCUUCUCCACAUAAACUCCAAUGGGCUCACCAACAACGAAUACCAACUCAAAUCAAGCAUUGUUUGAACUUGUAAACUGGAAGAGAUUUCGUGAACAUGUCAGCAGGAUUCUCCUUGGUACUGAUUUUCUGAACAAGGACUUUUCCCUCAGCAAUAGUAUCUCGAAUGAAAUGAAAUUUCACAUCAAUGUGCUUCGUCCUCUCAUGAUACAUCUGGUCUUUGGUCAAAUGAAUGGCACUUUGACUAUCACAGUAAAUAGUAAUAACACCUUGAUACAAACUAAGUUCGCCAAACAGACUCUUCAACCACAAAGCUUCUUUGAUUGCCUCAGUCAUGGCCAUAUAUUCUGCCUCCGUAGUAGAUAAAGCUACAAUAGAUUGUAAAGUAGCUUUCUAACUAACUGCACAACCGCCAAUGCAAAAUACGUAAUUUGAAAGUGAUCUUCUCCUGUCAAGAUCCCCAGCAUAGUCAGAGUUUACAAAACCAACCAAAGUGUUAUUAUUUCUUCCAAACUCCAAACUACAAUUUGAAGUCCCUCGCAAGUAUCUGAGAAUCCACUUCACAGCCUAUCAAUAUGCUUUUCCGAGACACGACAUAUACCUGUUAACCACACUGACUGCUUGUGCAAUAGCUGGACGAGUACAAACCAUUGCAUACAUAAUGCUGCCAACUACGUUGGAAUAAGGAACCCGUGUCAUAUACUCUUCCUCUUCAACUGACUGUGGUGACUGAGUAGCAGAUAGUCGAACAUGAAUAACAAGAGGAGUAGUCACAGGUUUAGCAUCUUUCAUGCCAAACUUCUCCAAAACCUUUUCAAGAUAAUUUUCUUGAGUCAAGAAUAAUUUUCUAGCUCCUCGGUCUCUUUUGAGUUCCAUGCCAAGAAUUUUCUUAGCUGCUCCCAAAUGUUUCAUGUCAAAUUCACUACUUAACUGCAACUUCAAAGUGUGAAUUUCUGACAAAUUCUUGGCAGCAAUGAGCAUGUCAUCAACAUAAAGUAGCAAAUAAAUAAAAGAACCAUCAUCUAACUUCCGGAAGUAAACGCAACUAUCAUACAUGCUCCUUGAAUAACCAUGACUCAACAUAAAAGUGUCAAAUCUCUUAUACCACUGUCUUGGAGAUUGUUUCAAUCCAUAUAAGGAUUUUUUUAACAAACAAACAUGGUCUUCCUUUCCUUCAAUUUCAAAUCCCUGAGAUUGUUUCAUAUAAAUUUUUUCUUCAAGUUCACUAUGUAAAAAAGCUGUCUUAACAUCAAGUUGCUCCAACUCCAAAUCAUACAUGGCAACUAAAGCAAGCAAAACACGAAUAGAGCUAUGCUUAACAACAUGUGAAAAUACUUCAUUAAAAUCAACACCUUGUACCUGACUAUAGCCCUUUGCAACCAAACAUGCUUUAUACCUUGCAUCUUCAACUCCUGGAAUACCUUCUUUCUUCUUGAAGACCCAUUUGCAUCCAACAAUUUUCUUACCUGAAGGCGGCUUCAUAAGAACCCAAGUUCCAUUUCGAUGGAGAAACUCAAUUUCUUCAUUUAUCGCAACCAACCACCUAGCAGAAUCAUCACAAGAAAUCGCAUCUGAAUAAGUAAUAGGCUCAUCAACUACAUCAGUUUCUUCUGCGAUAGACAAAGUAUAUGCAACCAAAUUUGCAUAUUUUUGUGGUGGUCGAAUAUCCCUCAUUGGUUUAUCUCUGGCAAUGAAAUAUUCUUCCUCUUCUGAAUUAUUUUCAUCGGUAGAUUCAGAUGCAUCUACUAGCACUUGUUGAAUAGAAAGACCAGAGAGAUAAAUGAAAUAUUCUUCCUCUUCUGAAUUAUUUUCAUCGGUAGAUUCAGAUGCAUCUACUAGCACUUGUUGAAUAGAAGGACCAGAACUACCAAUCUCAAGCUCCACCUGCUUCUGCAUACUAUUAUCUGUUUGACAAGAACUAGAAGACUCCUUCUUGGAAGAUAACAUAGAGAAUUCAUCAAAAGUAAUGUCUCUACUGAUUAUAAAUUUUGGAGAUUCAAGGAAAAUACACUUUUUAGCACGAGAUUCUAAUUUUCCAUCAUUUACAUGCAUGUAUGCUGGACACCCAAAAAUUUUAAAAUCAGAAUAAUCAGCAGGAGUACCUGACCAAAUUUCCUCAGGAGUUUUGAAAUUAACGGCAGCAGAAGGAGCACGGUUAACAAUAUAACAGGCCAUAGAAAUUGCUUCGGCCCAAAAAUCUUUGGCCAACCCUGCGUUAGAGAUCAUGCACCUCGCUCUCUCUAAAAGUGUUCUGUUCAUACGUUCGGCCACACUAUUUUGCUGAGGCGUCAUCCUGACAAUGUGAUGCCGAACAAUUCCUUCAUUCUUGCAAAAUUCAUUAAAUUCUCUUUCACAAAAUUCCAUACCAUUAUCUGUUCUAAGCCGUUUGAUCUGUUUAACUGUCUGUUUCUCAAUCAAAACUUUCCAUUGCUUGAAAGUGAGGUAAAUAUCAUUCUUAUGUUUAAGAAAAUAAACCCAAACUUUUCUUGAAUAAUCAUCAAUGAAAGUCAACAUAUACAUGGCACCACCCUUAGACGGAACACGAGAUGGACCCCAUAAAUCUGAAUGAAUAUAAUCAAGAGUACCUUUCGUCUUAUGGAUCGCUUGAGAACUGAAGCUAACUCUUUUUUGCUUCCCAAAUAUACAAUGUUCAUAGAAUUCUAGUGACCCAGUACUCUGACCGCAAAGAAGUCCCAUUUUGCUUAGUAUGCUCAGGCCUUUCUCGCUCAUAUGUCCCAAACGCAUAUGCCACAAUUUAGUGAUGUCAGAAUCAGACAAAGAUGAUGAUAACGAAACUGCAACCGAGCCUGUGACAGUAGAUCCCUGCAAAACAUAUAAACUACCAACCCUGCAAGCUUUCAUUACAACGACAGCACCUUUAGAAACCUUCAUAAUGCCAUUUUCACCUGUGUAUUUGCACCCAAGAGCCUCUAGAGUGCCCAAAGAGAUGAGAUUCUUUUUCAAAUCAGGAACAUGUUUAACAUUAGUGAGCAUCCUCACAAUACCAUCAUACAUUUUAAUUCGAAUUGUACCCUUACCAACAACAUUAUAAGCGGCAUUAUUAUCCAUCAAAACAAUUUCACCAUUAUAAGAUUCAUAAGUGGAAUAUAAAUCCCUAUUGGGACACAUGUGAUAAGAGCACCCCGAAUCUAAAAUCCACUUAUUUUUAGACCUUGUCCUGUCAUCAGUCACAAAGAAAAUACUUCCUUCAUUCUCAUCAGCUGCAACACCAGUUUCGGCAGCCUCAAAAUUUUUUUCACUAGGUUUCCCCUUUUAUUUCAAUUUAUUUUUCAAUUUGAAACAAUCUGCCUUAACGUGCCCCAUUUUAUGACAAUAAUUGCACUCCACAUUUUUAUGUCUGGAUUUAGAUCUAGAUUUAGAUCUACUUUUAUUAAAUUCUCUUCUCUCAGUUCUGUCCCUAACAACCAGACCUUCUGCAUGGCCUCCACUAAAUUUUUCAGUAAUAUCCCUGUCUAUCUGCUCCUUAGAUUUUAAUGCAGAUUUAAUUUUCUGAUACAAAAUUGUUUCUUUUCCAUAAAUCAUAGUAUCGCGAAAAUGUUUAAAAGAUUGGGGAAGGGAACACAAAAGUAACAGGGCCUGAUCCUCAUCAUCAAUUUUUGAAUCUAUAUUUCCCAAAUCCAUAAUAAUGGAAUCAAAUUUAUCAAGAUGUGAGAGUAUAGAUGUACCUUCAGUCAUGCGAAGCAUAUACAAACUUUGCUUUAAAUAAAGCCGAUUCUCAACUGUCUUCUUCAUGUACAAGACCUUAAGUUUGUCCCACAUGGCCUUUGCCGAAGUCUCAGUGGCUACCUCCCGCAAAAGCUCGUCAGAGAAAUUUAAGAUAAUACUGGAUCUUGCCUUCUUAUCCAUCUCAGCAAAAUUUGCUUCUGUCACACUCUCUGGCUUUUUCUCAAUUCUGUGUAUUGCUAGAUCAACUCCGUCUUGAACCAAAAUGGCCUCCAUCUUGAGCUGCCACAUCCCGAAGUUGACAUUCCUGUCGAAUUUCUCGACGACAGUCUUUGUUAUUGUCAUUGUUGCCACAAAAUCCAAAGCCUCCAAAGAAGCUCUGAUACCAGUUUGUUAGGUCUGGCCCCAGGAAAUUGACAAAAGGAUUUGUAGCAACCCUCAAAAGACAAAUAACAAAGCAGAAAUAAGUAAAACAAGAACACAAGAAUUUACGUUGUUUGGUCAAAUUGACCUACGUCCACGGGCGGAGGAGGAGCAAUAUUUUACUAUGAAGAAGAGAGUACAAAAGAUGCCUUAGGAAAGUGUUCCUAGACCCAAAACACCUAAUACUAAAACACAAGAGAGCCCAAAAGUAUUUAACUAAACAAAAGGCUUAAUGACCCAAAGGCCCAAAUAGCCCACUAAUGCUCUCUUGAUCUUGGUGCACUUAACCCCAUCAUAGGCCCACUAUACUUAUAGGCAACCAAGGGAAAGGUUCCCUUAUACAAAAGCCGAUGUGGGACAAUGCCACACUAACAAUUUGCUACAGGGAAUGUUACCAAAUCAGUUUGCCCCUACAAAUGUAUAUCCAAAAGGUACAGAAUGCCCAACUGCUAUGCCUCUUUUGAAGAGUUGAUACAUAAUCUUGAAGGUCCCUAGCCAUUCUCACUCUUAUCAGGGUGUCUUGCACUCCUUCUAGCUCUAGUAUUGAGCACUUUGAGGAUCAAAUUGAAUGGAUUGGGGUGUUCAUAUAUCAAUGUGAAUUAAACUGAGCUCCAAAAUCAUUAUCAUUCUCCUUAUCUUCUCUCUUUAUCUGACGUACGGUCUUCAUUAACUUUUUGGUUCUAUGAUGCAUCUAUGUAGUAUUGCCAAAUUGGCAAUUUUUAUUUUUAACGUAAUUCAUUUGCGUAACAUCUAGGUCAGUGGUGCCAGAGCUGAAGAAACUCAGAGCCAUGUCCACAUGAUGUACUUUUAUGGGUCCAAAUACUUUUAGAGAACCAUAUAAUCUUCCCUAUUUGCCUCCCAACGCAAUUGUUGAGCCUAUGUAAACAUUUGCUUGUAAUCUGAAGUUUUUGGGCCGUAGGCAAAGGUUUAGAAGAAAAAAUGUUGUUCACCUUGGAACCCUAUAUGUAGGAGUUUAAUUUAAUAAUUCUUUUGUCAUCCUUGAUUACGAGAGAAUUUUGAUUGCUGUAUAUAUUUUUCUUUGCCAUUUUAAAAGACUGUGCUUAAGUUUAUGAUUAUUAAGUAUCUUUUGAGUUUUACACCUGAAAGAUAUUAGUCUUUCUUCUUAUUCAUUAAUCUUUAUUACACAAAGAUACAUAAGUUAAUCUUUACUGAGUCAGAAUUUUGACUUCUUUUCCAAUGAACUGUACUUGGUUGAGGCUCACUUAGCUUCAACUUUCUGGUCUGAUACAGCGAGAAUAUGAGAGAUUUUCUAAACAAAAUUUUACUUCAUUUGUAAAAUUUUCAAAUGUUACUCAUGUGCUAAUGGUGAUUGACAGCAGGUAUGAUGGUGCUUUGAACAGAUUUAUAGACGAGAUCAACUAAAUUGCAGCAUACAAACGGUGGGAAGGGUCAGUGCAUAGCACAUGCUUGCUUAACCCUGUUUCUGGUCCCGGAAACAAUGGCGUUGGAGUAAUAAAGUUCACCGUUGUUAGGAGUAUGUUGAGUCUGAGUAUGACCAUUCUUGUAUAUGAUCCUGCAGAUCGCGAGCAUUAUACAAAGGAAUGGAGGUUUGACUUUGUUGCUAAGAGUGAAACUCUUUGGCCCUGUGGAAAUCUGAUCAAAAUUUUGUGGCUCGGAAAUUUGCAGCCUAAUACUUCUUUUAUGCACUGCAAGACAAUGAAGCUAGUAUGAAUUUGGUGUAUUUAGUUCAAUAGAGUAUUUUCUUAUGUUGAUAUGGCCUGUUAAUCAUGUGUAUUGAAUUAAAAUAGCUUUAAAAAGUUUGUUAUGUAUAAUUGCAAGUUAAGUAUUAAAAGUUGUUUAAUGAAGAAUUUUAUCUGCGUAUCAGUAGCCAAUUGCUUGAUUACAUAUUUGCUCAAGUUGUAAAUUAACCAAAGUCUGGGCACCUUCAUGCAUUGCGUUAGGGCUCACACAGUAGUCUAGUCCAAAGAACAAAGAACCUGAGAUCAUCUACAAAGGUGCUAGAAUUGGAAUAGAAGUUGGAAGAUGAAAAUUUGACGAUUCUACUCUUCAAACAGGGCCAAUUCCAACCUUCAAGCAGUAAAUUCCAUAGACCUACUAGGAACCAUUUUUGCUAUCUCCAUGGAAUUUCCAUAGAAAUUCUUUCUGCAAGAAUAUGAAAUACUUACUUCAAGUGCCUUCACAUUAUAUUCACACUUUCGAGUAUAUAUCCAUUUGCACAAAUUCAAAGAAAGAAUUAAGAAAUCCAAAACCAUUAUACUCAAUGUCAUUUAACAGUGCAUUUAAUUGCAACUUUAAGAUUCAUGCUCACAAGUUGCAAAAAUAAUAUGGUACCACAUGAGAUUCUACACAUUCAUCUUUUUCCGUUAUUCACACUAGAAAUCCAUGUUAUUGAGAAUCUUCAAUGAUAUAUCAGAUUCUUUGCAUUAAUUUUUAGCAAAGGAAAAACCCCCAUUAUUUUAGUGCUUUAAUGAUACGCAACUAAACACAUAUCGCAUUCAAAGAUCCAAGUUCUUUGCAUAUUAGCAUAGAAAAUUACUAUGAACCCACUAUUUGUCACAACUUUUUAACAUGCAAUGGAGUAUAUAUCUAUUGCAAUUAGAGUGAAUGACCCAAUUAAUCAUACCCAUUGGAAGCUCACUUUUACUUGUUAAGAAGGCACCUUUAAAAAUUUCCUUCAAAAUGCAUGGCAGCAACUUGUCUAGUGCAGCAACAAGUUGUAAUUGUUCAGCAAUUUGAACUCUUUCGGAUCUACUUCUCUGGUGCCAUAUUUUCCUAUUAAGCCUUCCAAGACUUUUGGUAUUAGGACAAGAAGUUUCAUAGAAACUAUAAAAGUCAUUAUAAUACUAGCAAUGGAAUUCAACAACUUCCCUUUUUCUUAAAUUUUUCUCCACAAGCAUUCUUUUAUUGUUAAUAUGUUUCAUUGGUUGAGAUCUUCUCAUUUUUCGUCCAUAGGUAGGCUCAAGUGACUUGUAAGUUGAACUCCAUCUUGUUCUGAACCACUUUAAAAUUGUUGCUCCGCUAGAACAACUAUACAAAUGUCAAAUAGAAAAAUUAACAAUAGUUAUAAUAAUAAUUAUAACUAUAAUUAAAUAGUCAAAAUAAUAAUAUGAUAAUGCACAAAUGUAAUGGGUUGAGGUAUGGAUAUUUCGCCUUCUUUAAGAUUAUUUAAGCCUCUGCGAAAGAAUCAAUUUUCGUGUAGUAGAAUCUUCGGCUUGUUACCCCAAGGAUAUAACAGUCCAACUACACAUGCUGUUACUCUCAUUAGUCUGUACAACUAAGAGAGUAUAAAUUUUUUUUGCCAAUACAUGAGAUAGAAAAUAACAAAAGAGUAGAUAUUUUCUCUUAUGAAUUGUAGCUCAAAAAACAUAAGUUGUUGUAGCAUCUUUUUCUAUCUCAAUAACCCAUAUUUAUAGAUCAAGAAAAAUUAGUCAAACAUAACCUAACUAAUAAUAUGUUGAGUAGAUGCUGAAAAUUAUUGGCUAUUCAAGACACACUCUAAUUUGAAUUGUAAGUUACAAAAUUUAUUGGAAUUGAAAAGCCAUAAUUUUAUAUAACAAAUCUUUAGUCAAAAAUCAUUCAAACACCAAUAAAUUUGAAAAAUAUUCACCAAUUUAUUCUCCUUAUAACUUACACAUCUAAUUGAGAAUUUAACAAUUUUAUUAAAAUAUUCCAACACCUUAUAUACAUAAUCUAGAAAAUUUUGUGUUACUUCCAUAAAAUCAUGAAAUUAUUUCCAUAAACUAUGGGAGAUCUUUUAGCCACAAGCGAGUUAUGAAUUAACCAUAUUUUAUUUUCAGCUGUAAAGCACAUAUGUUCAACUUCUAAUCGAUUACCUAAACUUAAUUUCACUUCUAUACUUUCACAGAUACCAUUCCCAUAAAAGACUCUCACACUCAUUUGGAGGAGUCCAAAAUGCAAGUUGUUUUCGUAAUUUGUCAUCCUGGAUUAGAUCUACUAAAGGGGCCAAUUGUAGUGUGGUAAAUUAUGACCAUCCCCCACUUCGUGUCCACCAAAUUAUGAGGUGUGGCCCAAGAGUUUAUUUUUAUUCUUUUAUUUUUUUAUGUCAAUUACUUCUGUACAGCUUGAAAGUUCUUUGAUGGAGACUUGGAAGCAUGUUGUUAAUACAGGCAAAAAAAUAGUAAGAUUUUGGUGAUUUUGAGGUCAAUCAUGUUUUUUUGUUAAAAAAAUAGAUGCAUCAGUUAUUUCACCUGCACCCGCUGUGCAUCAAUUUUUUUAGGCAAUAAUAUUUUUAUAAUCAAAUUUAUCCUAAUUUAAAGGAAAGGAAAAUCUAAAAAAACUGUAUAUCAAGGGUUAGUACCUCUACUUUUUUUUUUUUUUUUGGUAAGAAAGUACCUCUACUUACUACUCAAAGAGGGAUUUAGUCUUUCUGUCAACCUGCCGGAGUUUGCUCUGGUGUUUGUGGCUGUGGGGAAGAGAGAAGAAAAAACACGUCGGAGUUUUGGGAGCAACACGUGUCGUGGUUGAAUGGCACCGGAUUGACGUUCCUACAGUGGGAAGGCCAAUAACAUACAAUUCCAUGAUAAAGAGGGUCAGGCCAAAAUCCCCUCCAUCCCAUUGAUAUUGCAUACUUUCUUUGUUGGAUGGUUCUAAAUUAUUUGUCAUUUAUAUAAAUUAGUUGAUAUAUUUCUAUUUAAUUUCUUCAUUUAGUCAUUUACUCCUCAGGCACUCCGUAAAAGUUCAAUGCAUGUUUUUUUUUUUUGAGUCCACGUACUAUUAUCAAGAAAGUAAAACAACUACUUUUUUGUAGUAUGUAACAGUUAUCAAGUAAUUAAAAUCACAACAAUCUAAGAUUUGGUAAAACUUUCAAAUAUCUAAGAUUUUCCACAAAACCUAGGAUUGAACAAAUAUCAUAGCCCCACAAUUCUUUAUGAGUUAGAAACUACACAUCAAGUUUCAAAUUCUAUCCACUAUUAAUAAAAAUUGUAAUUCUUGAACUGCGACAAACUUUAUAAGAUGUAAGGAGCAAUAUUUACUGCAUACAUAUACAUGUAUUGUUUCUUGGCUUGAUUUGUCCUCAUAAAUAAGAUCAUUGCAUCGAUUUUGGUGAAGAAAAACAAUUAGUCGAAGCUCAAACUGCAACUAUUAUAACAUCUUCAACAAUUACAAUAGUGUCAAGAAAGACACCACGUAAAAUGUUGUUUAUUAGGCACUUACAAUAUUGCAAAGUAAGGUAAAUUACAAUAUGACGGUAAAUUACUGCAUCAUAAAUACGCUUCUGAAAGUACAGGCUUUAUUCGUACGCGCCCAGCUUAAAAUCUAUUUGUUCUCUGAAAUCUCCAUGUGCAAUCCCUUGGGGUAACGAAUACCAGUAGGUGUCCGGAUUCUCUCUGCUCCGUUGGUAACUCUCCAGCUGAAAAUUCAAAUUAGACAGUCUUUCUUGAAAAAUCGAAGAAGUUAAGUGGACAUCAAUUUAUAAUAUAUAGGAAUUAGCUUCUUCUAUAUGUAUUUAAGCGAAGAUGGUGGGAAUUGUGAUUUGGAAAUCCUUACGUGUAUUUUGUGACCAAGUAAUGCAGAAAAAUUGACAUCUGCACCUUUGCAUAGUCAGCACCAACGCAAAGCCUCGUACCACCAGCAAAUGCCAUGAAAUUUUUUGAUCCCAUGUGUAAUUCUUUGCCCUUUUGAUUGAAAAAACAGCAGAAAAACCCUAAAUCAUUUUUACUUGAUUUUGUUUAACUUUUGUUUUGUAAGUUUAUCUUUCUUGUGUGCAUAUAUUGCUCAAAUAUGUCGAUGAUCAAAUUACCUCCCAUCGCCAUGGGUUAAAUUCAUGGGGGUUUGCAUAUACAUUAGGAUCCAAAUGAACACAUGAUGGACAAACCAUUACCGUCCAGCCAGCAGGAAUUGUAUACCCUGCAAAUCAUUCGCACUUAUUAGUCAAAACUGGAAGUUAUAAUGGUGGAAAAGAGGAACCAAGGAAACAAAUCAUUUAUUUUCUAUAUUUUUACUCCCAUGAAAAAAUGCCCAACCCAAGUAGUUAUUAAAGAGAGUUUUUCUUUCUUCUUUUUUUUUUUUCCUUUUUUGUGCAGGAGAAAGGUAUCACUGGUCCAAAAUAAAGAAAGUGUGACAAAUGAUUUUCAAGAAGAUGCCAAAUGACAUAUUGAAGCGUACCUUUUACUUCAACUUCCUUGACAACUUUGCGCAAAAUCCCAGGAGUAAUAUUUGCAAGCCUAAGUGUUUCAUUUAUAACCUACAGUAGACAACAAAACUUAAGAUGUAAAUGGUCUAGCUCACUAUAUGAUUCAAAUGAUAGAUACAAUGAAAUGUCUGGUUAAUUGGAGCGUACCAUGUGUGUGAAAGUCAUAGACUUGUACUCUUUCCAAGAAACAGCAGAACCUUCCGUUUCUCGCAUUUUAAGAAUAUUUUCAUGCUCUCUCUACAAAAAUGAAUGACUAUUUAAAUAUGAAGUAAUCUUUCAUAUUUAAAACAAUGCACACUAUCGGUAUAUAUAGAAUAUUAAUCAUUUAAAUAUUGAACUUGCAGAAGAAUUGGAGAAUUAAAGGGUAAAUACAGAUGACAACGGGAGAAAUUGUUUCGGAAAGUCACGGACCUUUAGUUCAGCCAUAACACGUGGAUGGCCAUCUAGAUACCUCAAGGCCACAGUCAAAGCUGUUGAAGUCGUUUCAUGGGCAGCAAAUAGAAACAAAAAUACCAGGUCCCUCGCAAUUUCUUCGUUCAAAAAAGUGUCUUCUUUCUUUAUUUGCUCAAGUAAAUGGUCCACAAAGUCUUUCGAAGUGUCAUUGCCCGAGCGCUUCCUCUCAAAGAUGUCCUUGAUGACCUUCAUUGCUUUCUUACGUCCCUGGAAAAUGAAAACCAUAUAGUUCGUUCAAUCUGAUACGGCAUUUAUGAAAGCAUAUAUAUUUUACGUAGUCAUAUAUUGAUAAUGAAUAUGUUUUUUUUUUCUUGUUGGUAUAGUGAACAUCGAUCUUUCAAUAUAAAAAGAAUUCCAAAUGACGAACAACAACAAUAACAAUUGAUUACUUGUAAGCAAGCAUGGAACGGUGUUCCAGGGAUGUUGAGAGGAAAUGAGAUCAAGCCAUCCAUGAAUGCCUUAUAACUGUCUCUCAAUUUUUGCUGAUCCUUGCUUUCUUCAUAGCCAAGCAUCUUCUUGGCAGCAUAUUUAAAUACCAACUGGAGAAAAUGAGAUUGUUCAUUACUACUUUUCAUGCAAUGCUCUGUACGUACAGUCCGAAUUCAUCCUGAUUAAUAUAAUCAAAUAGUAGCAUGCUGAUUAAUUUACCUCUGAUGUUCCAUCUUUAGCAUCUAAUUUUCCAAGUUUACUCCAAGAACUUAGAGAUUCUUGAGUGCUGGCAUCCAUUUCAUAUAUUAGCUUCUCUCUUAAGGCUUCGGGGCUAACAAGCUUGAACGUUAAGCUCUUGAGGUACUUGUGGAAGCCUCCAUGAUGGGCAAGUACACUUUGUUUCCCAAUUAUCUGGAAGAGACUCUCAGUAUACCAAAUUUGGAAAGCAUUAC
rnacentral:lncRNA from 1 species